rnacentral:misc_RNA from 1 species
GAUGAAGAACGUAGCGAAAUGCAAUAAGUAAUGUGAAUUGCAGAAUUCAGUGAAUCAUCGAAUCUUUGAACGCACAUUGCGCCCCCUGGUAUUCCGGGGGGCAUGCCUGUUCGAGCGUCAUUACAACCCUCAAGCUCUGCUUGGUAUUGGGCCCCGCCAGUUCUGGCGGGCCCUAAAGUCAGUGGCGGUGCCUUCCGGCUCCGAGCGUAGUAAUUCUUCUCGCUCUGGAGACCCGGUUGUGUGCUUGCCAACAACCCCCAAUUUUUUAAGGUUGACCUCGGAUCAGGUAGGGAUACCCGCUGAACUUAAGCAUAUCAAUAAGCGGAGGA